GAGCGUAGACGGAUGGACAAGUCUGAUGUGAAAGGCUGGGGCUCAAUCCCGGGACUGCAUUGGAAACUGCCCGUCUUGAGUGCCGGAGAGGUAAGCGGAAUUCCUAGUGUAGCGGUGAAAUGCGUAGAUAUUAGGAGGAACACCAGUGGCGAAGGCGGCUUACUGGACGGUAACUGACGUUGAGGCUCGAAAGCGUGGGGAGCAAACA
rnacentral:rRNA from 1 species